rnacentral:rRNA from 1 species
UGGAGAGUUUGAUCCUGGCUCAGGACGAACGCUGGCGGCGUGCCUAAUACAUGCAAGUCGAGCGCGGGAAGCGAGUUGAUCCCYUUCGGGGGUGACGCUCGUGGAACGAGCGGCGGACGGGUGAGUAACACGUGGGCAACCUGCCUGUAAGACCGGAAUAACCCCGGGAAACCGGGGCUAAUGCCGGGUAACACUUUUCUCCGCAUGGAGGAGAGUUGAAAGAUGGCUUCUAGCUAUCACUUACAGAUGGGCCCGCGGCGCAUUAGCUAGUUGGUGAGGUAACGGCUCACCAAGGCGACGAUGCGUAGCCGACCUGAGAGGGUGAUCGGCCACACUGGGACUGAGACACGGCCCAGACUCCUACGGGAGGCAGCAGUAGGGAAUCUUCCGCAAUGGACGAAAGUCUGACGGAGCAACGCCGCGUGAACGAUGAAGGUCUUCGGAUCGUAAAGUUCUGUUGUUAGGGAAGAACAAGUACCGUGCGAAUAGAGCGGUACCUUGACGGUACCUAACGAGGAAGCCCCGGCUAACUACGUGCCAGCAGCCGCGGUA